CGCGUAGGUGGUCCUUCAAGUCAGAUGUUAAAUCUCCUGGCUUAACUGGGAGUGGUCAUUUGAUACUGCUGGACUUGAGGGCGGUAGAGGGAGGUGGAAUUCCCGGUGUAGUGGUGAAAUGCGUAGAUAUCGGGAGGAACACCAGUGGCGAAAGCGGCCUCCUAGGCCGUUCCUGACACUGAGGCGCGAAAGCGUGGGGAGCGAACAGGAUCAGAUACCCUGGUAGUCCACGCCCUAAACUGUGGAAACUAGGUACAGGGAGUAUCGACCCUUCCCGCGCCGUAGCUAACGCGUUAAGUUUCCCGCCUGGGGACUACGGUCGCAAGACUAAA
rnacentral:rRNA from 1 species